rnacentral:rRNA from 1 species
GACGAACGCUGGCGGCGUGCUUAACACAUGCAAGUCGAGCGGUAAGGCCCCUUCGGGGGUACACGAGCGGCGAACGGGUGAGUAACACGUGGGUGACCUGCCCUCAGCUCUGGGAUAAGCCUGGGAAACUGGGUCUAAUACUGGAUAUGACUCCACGGUGCAUGUCGUGGGGUGGAAAGCCUUGUGCGGCUGAGGAUGGGCCCGCGGCCUAUCAGCUUGUUGGUGGGGUGANGGCCUACCAAGGCGACGACGGGUAGCCGGCCCGAGAGGGCGACCGGCCACACUGGGACUGAGACACGGCCCAGACUCCUACGGGAGGCAGCAGUGGGGAAUCUUGCGCAAUGGGCGAAAGCCUGACGCAGCGACGCCGCGUGAGGGAUGACGGCCUGGUGUAAC